rnacentral:rRNA from 1 species
GAUGAACGCUGGCGGCGUGCUUAACACAUGCAAGUCGAACGGAAAGGCUCCUGCUUGCAGGGGUACUCGAGUGGCGAACGGGUGAGUAACACGUGGGUGAUCUGCCCUGCACUUCGGGAUAAGCCUGGGAAACUGGGUCUAAUACCGGAUAGGACGAUGGUUUGGAUGCCAUUGUGGAAAGUUUUUCGGUGUGGGAUGAGCUCGCGACCUAUCAGCUUGUUGGUGGGGUAAUGGCCUACCAAGGCGUCGACGGGUAGCCGGCCUGAGAGGGUGUACGGCCACAUUGGGACUGAGAUACGGCCCAGACUCCUACGGGAGGCAGCAGUGGGGAAUAUUGCACAAUGGGCGCAAGCCUGAUGCAGCGACGCCGCGUGGGGGAUGACGGCCUUCGGGUUGUAAACUCCUUUCGCUAGGGACGAAGCGCAAGUGACGGUACCUGGAGAAGAAGCACCGGCUAACUACGUG